UACAGAGGUCCCAAGCGUUGUUCGUAUUCACUGGGCGUAAAGGGUGCGUAGGCGGUCGGGUAAGUCUGAUGUGAAAUCUCACAGCUUAACUGUGAAACUGCAUUGGAUACUAUCCGGCUCGAGGAAUGGAGGGGAGACUGGAAUACUUGGUGUAGCAGUGAAAUGCGUAGAUAUCAAGUGGAACACCAGUGGCGAAGGCGAGUCUCUGGACAUUUCCUGACGCUGAGGCACGAAAGCCAGGGGAGCAAACGGG
rnacentral:rRNA from 1 species